UACGUAGGGGGCAAGCGUUAUCCGGAUUUACUGGGUGUAAAGGGAGCGUAGACGGCAGCGCAAGUCUGGAGUGAAAUGCCGGGGCUCAACCCCGGAACUGCUUUGGAAGCUGUGCAGCUAGAGUGCGGGAGAGGUAAGCGGAAUUCCUAGUGUAGCGGUGAAAUGCGUAGAUAUUAGGAGGAACACCAGUGGCGAAGGCGGCUUACUGGACCGUAACUGACGUUGAGGCUCGAAAGCGUGGGGAGCAAACAGG
rnacentral:rRNA from 1 species